rnacentral:rRNA from 1 species
UACGGGGGGGGGCAAGCGUUGUUCGGAAUUACUGGGCGUAAAGGGUGCGUAGGCGGUCUGUUAAGUUGGAUGUGAAAACUCUGGGCUCAACCCAGAGCCUGCAUCCAAAGCUGGCAGGCUAGAGUUCUGGAGGGGGUAGCGGAAUUCCUGGUGUAGCGGUGAAAUGCGUAGAUAUCAGGAGGAACACCGGUGGCGAAGGCGGCUACCUGGACAGAAACUGACGCUGAGGCACGAAAGCUAGGGGAGCAAACAGG